rnacentral:lncRNA from 1 species
UAGCUUUGAGUUUUUCCAAAUUCUAAACCAAAAAUAUCCAAAAUUCACAAACGGAUGAUUUUUAAUACUUCUCUUCUGACAAAAUACUGAUAAAACACCUCAGCAUUAAUUCUUCCAUUAAUAACCAUAUAAAAUAAAUAAAUCUAUUAUUUAUAUCCACAUCAAAUAAAUAUUUCCUUAUCAUAUAAAUCAAUAAUUAAUUAUUCACAAAUAAUAUUACAGAAUCACAAUUAUGACAACCAGGCC